UUUUAGUAGUUGAACUGCGUCUCACCGCAGAGUCACGAGUAAGUUAUCUAAAUUUUGGACAUUUUAUUGAGUUUUCCAAUACAUCCCCCCCAACCGGCAGCGGUUAAAUCCUCUACGAAAAUGAGAUUCGAAAAUCACGUAGAAGAUCGUGAUUUAUUGUUCCAAGGAUUUUAUUCAUCGAGCAUCCUCAUAAUAUCCGAGGCAGUAAAAUCGAUGGAGUUACCAGUAGGAGAGCGUGACCUAUUGCCAAGGAACUUCAAUCCCCCGUCCAUCGUUGGAUGGAGGUAGCCUAGCCAAUUAUUUCCAAUUUCGAUCAUCCUUACGCUGUUCUCGUCGCAAAGUUUUCCAGAUGGGAUGAGGAAGAAUCGAGGCGUCCAAUUGGUAAAACAGUGAAUGGUCACAGUGAUAUAGCCAAUACUAAUGAAGCCUGGAACAAUUGACGAGAAUACACCUAUCAUUCACCCAAAUAUCCAACGUCCUUUGCAUAAAAUAAUUGGAGAGAGAUUAAAUCAAGUAUUGGGACGACCGACAUUAUUUCCAAUGCACCACGAAAAUUUUAUACAUGUUAACAACACAACCUAGUGGUAUUUCACUCUGAGCGGACGAUGACAUGAUCGCCAAUGCCUGGGUUCACUGCACGUAUAGCUCGACUACUCGUUCUACUACGGCACGGAUAGAUGGGAAUAUUUCUGAUGGAGUUAUAGCUGAAGGUAAAACAAUUACAAAUUGAAUUGAAAAUAUCCAGUACAUGCUUCAUCCAUUUUUCACGUAUUCUGAUGUGAUGGCGCCUCAAAGAGAUUAGGAAAAUAUUAGGUCACGCGUUGUUUGAAGUUUUUAUUCCUUCAGCUUUCGCGGAACAUAAUUUCAUGUUUUUCUGAAUAAUUGAUGGAGUCUGACUCCUGUUUAUUGUGAAAGGCUUCU